rnacentral:lncRNA from 1 species
UCCAUUAAAAUCCCCAAAUUCUACAAUACCUACCCAUGCCAAAAUACGAAACCCACCAUCUGAUACGAAACCCAAAGCAAGCAUGAGAUGUUAGUUGGGUAUGCGGUAUAGAACCUUAAUAUUCAUCUGAAGAUUUCCCAGGCCACUCUCAUUCUCAGCUCAGCCCCUUUUCAUCCGUUCCAUUUUCCCUUUCUCGCUAAUUAUUAAAUUUCAUAAUUCACCCAAAGGCUUGCUAGGCUUCUUCAAAUUCGGCAAGUCUCAUACUCUCAUCAGUUUCGGUCAAGAAAUGAGAUAAGGAAUUAAACUUGGAACGAUUUGGGGGCAAG